CGCUGGCGGCGUGCUUAACACAUGCAAGUCGAACGGAGUAAUUCUCCCGAAGAUUGAAGAAGCUUGCUCUGAAGAUUCAUUGAAUACUUAGUGGCGGACGGGUGAGUAACGCGUGGGAAACCUGCCCUAUACUGGGGGAUAGCAGUUGGAAACGACUGAUAAUACCGCAUAAGCGCACAGCUUCGCAUGAGGCAGUGUGAAAACUCCGGUGGUAUAGGAUGGUCCCGCGUCUGAUUAGCUAGUUGGUGAGGUAACGGCCCACCAAGGCGACGAUCAGUAGCCGGCCUGAGAGGGUGUACGGCCACAUUGGGACUGAGACACGGCCCAAACUCCUACGGGAGGCAGCAGUGGGGAAUAUUGGACAAUGGGGGAAACCCUGAUCCAAGCGACGCCGCGUGAACGAAGAAGUAUUUCGGUAUGUAAAGUUCUAUCAGCAGGGAAGAUAAUGACGGUACCUGACUAAGAAGCACCGGCUAAAUACGUGCCAGCCGCUGC
rnacentral:rRNA from 1 species